UCUUAUGGAUGAACAAAGAAACUGGUUACUUGGGAAGGCAUCUACUCCUGGUGAAGAUGCUGUGAA
rnacentral:pre_miRNA from 1 species